UACGUAGGGGGCAAGCGUUAUCCGGAUUUACUGGGUGUAAAGGGAGCGUAGGUGGCAAGGCAAGUCAGAUGUGAAAACCCGGGGCCCAACCCCGGGAGUGCAUUUGAAACUGUCUGGCUAGAGUGCAGGAGAGGUAAGUGGAAUUCCUAGUGUAGCGGUGGAAUGCGUAGAUAUUAGGAGGAACAUCAGUGGCGAAGGCGACUUUCUGGACUGUAACUGACGCUGAGGCACGAAAGUGUGGGGAGCAAACAGG
rnacentral:rRNA from 1 species